GACGAACGCUGGCGGCGUGCUUAACACAUGCAAGUCGAACGAUGAAGCCUAGCUUGCUAGGUGGAUUAGUGGCGAACGGGUGAGUAAUACGUGAGUAACCUACCUUUAACUCUGGGAUAAGCCCGGGAAACUGGGUCUAAUACCGGAUACGACCAAUCUCCGCAUGGGGUGUUGGUGGAAAGCGUUAUGUAGUGGUUAUAGAUGGGCUCACGGCCUAUCAGCUUGUUGGUGAGGUAACGGCUCACCAAGGCGACGACGGGUAGCCGGCCUGAGAGGGUGACCGGCCACACUGGGACUGAGACACGGCCCAGACUCCUACGGGAGGCAGCAGUGGGGAAUAUUGCACAAUGGGCGCAAGCCUGAUGCAGCGACGCCGCGUGAGGGAUGACGGCCUUCGGGUUGUAAACCUCUGUUAGCAGGGAAGAAGAGAGAUUGACGGUACCUGCAGAGAAAGCGCCGGCUAACUACGUGCCAGCAGCCGCGGUAAUACGUAGGGCGCGAGCGUUGUCCGGAAUUAUUGGGCGUAAGAGCUUGUAGGCGGUUUGUCGCGUCUGCUGUGAAAGGCCGGGGCUUAACUCCGUGUAUUGCAGUGGGUACGGGCAGACUAGAGUGCAGUAGGGGAGACUGGAAUUCCUGGUGUAGCGGUGGAAUGCGCAGAUAUCAGGAGGAACACCGAUGGCGAAGGCAGGUCUCUGGGCUGUAACUGACGCUGAGAAGCGAAAGCAUGGGGAGCGAACAGGAUUAGAUACCCUGGUAGUCCAUGCCGUAAACGUUGGGCACUAGGUGUGGGGAACAUUCCACGUUUUCCGCGCCGUAGCUAACGCAUUAAGUGCCCCGCCUGGGGAGUACGGCCGCAAGGCUAAAACUCAAAGAAAUUGACGGGGGCCCGCACAAGCGGCGGAGCAUGCGGAUUAAUUCGAUGCAACGCGAAGAACCUUACCAAGGCUUGACAUAUACUGGACCGCAUCAGAGAUGGUGUUUCCCUUCGGGGCUGGUAUACAGGUGGUGCAUGGUUGUCGUCAGCUCGUGUCGUGAGAUGUUGGGUUAAGUCCCGCAACGAGCGCAACCCUCGUUCUAUGUUGCCAGCACGUAAUGGUGGGGACUCAUAGGAGACUGCCGGGGUCAACUCGGAGGAAGGUGGGGAUGACGUCAAAUCAUCAUGCCCCUUAUGUCUUGGGCUUCACGCAUGCUACAAUGGCCGGUACAGAGGGUUGCGAUACUGUGAGGUGGAGCUAAUCCCUAAAAGCCGGUCCCAGUUCGGAUUGGGGUCUGCAACUCGACCCCAUGAAGUCGGAGUCGCUAGUAAUCGCAGAUCAGCAACGCUGCGGUGAAUACGUUCCCGGGCCU
rnacentral:rRNA from 1 species